UACGUAGGGCGCAAGCGUUGUCCGGAAUUAUUGGGCGUAAAGAGCUCGUAGGCGGCUUGUCGCGUCGUCCGUGAAAACCCACAGCUCAACUGUGGGCUUGCGGUCGAUACGGGCAGGCUAGAGUUCGGUAGGGGAGACUGGAAUUCCUGGUGUAGCGGUGAAAUGCGCAGAUAUCAGGAGGAACACCGGUGGCGAAGGCGGAUCUCUGGGCCAUUACUGACGCUGAGGAGCGAAAGCGUGGGGAGCGAACAGG
rnacentral:rRNA from 1 species